GGACUCCCAGGUCCUCCCAUUCUGUGGUCAUCACUGAACACACAACACUCAUGGAGUUCAGACUGAGCUGGGUUUUCCUUGUGGCUGUAUUAAAAGGUGUCCAGUCUGAUGUGCAGCUGGUGGAGUCGGGAGGAGGCUUGGCACAGCCUGGAAAGUCCCUGAAACUCUCCUGCACAGCCUCUGGAUUUACUUUUAGUAAUGCCUGGAUGAACUGGGUCCGCCAGGCUCCGGGGAAGGGGCUGGAGUGGGUUGCAGAAGUUAGAUUCAAAGCUUAUAAUUAUGCAACAUACUAUGGGGAGUCUGUGAAAGGCAGGUUCACCAUCUCAAGAGACGACUCCAAAAGCAGCGUCUACUUGGAAAUGAACAGCUUAAGAGCAGACGACACCGCCAUUUAUUUCUGUGCUGCACGCACACGGUGA